AGAGUGAACGCUGGCGGUAGGCCUAACACAUGCAAGUCGAACGGCAGCACAGUGGUAGCAAUACCAUGGGUGGCGAGUGGCGGACGGGUGAGGAAUACAUCGGAAUCUACCUUUUCGUGGGGGAUAACGUAGGGAAACUUACGCUAAUACCGCAUACGCCCUUCGGGGGAAAGCCGGGGAUCGCAAGACCUGGCGCGGAUAGAUGAGCCGAUGUCGGAUUAGCUAGUUGGUGAGGUAAUGGCUCACCAAGGCGACGAUCCGUAGCUGGUCUGAGAGGAUGAUCAGCCACACUGGAACUGAAGACACGGUCCAGACCU
rnacentral:rRNA from 1 species